GUAUUCUAAGGCGCUUGAGAGAACUCAGGAGAAGGAACUCGGCAAAUUGACACCGUAACUUCGGAAGAAGGUGUGCCCUAUUAGUGUGUAGUGAACAACGAAGCAUGAAUGGGUUGCAAAAAAUCGGUGGCUGCGACUGUUUAUUAAAAACACAGCACUCUGCAAACACGAAAGUGGACGUAUAGGGUGUGACGCCUGCCCGGUGCUGGAAGAUUAAAUGAUGGGGUGCAAGCUCUUGAUUGAAGUCCCAGUAAACGGCGGCCGUAACAAUAACGGUCCUAAGGUAGCGAAAUUCCUUGUCGGGUAAGUUCCGACCUGCACGAAUGGCGUAACGAUGGCCACACUGUCUCCUCCUGAGACUCAGCGAAGUUGAAAUGUUUGUGAUGAUGCAAUCUCCCCGCGGAAAGACGGAAAGACCCCAUGAACCUUUACUGUAGCUUUGUAUUGGACUUUGAACAGAUCUGUGUAGGAUAGGUGGGAGGCUUUGAAGCAGGGUCGCUAGAUCUUGUGGAGCCAACGUUGAAAUACCACCCUGGUGUGUUUGAGGUUCUAACCUAGGUCCAUUAUCUGGAUCGGGGACAGUGCAUGGUAGGCAGUUUGACUGGGGCGGUCUCCUCCCAAAGCGUAACGGAGGAGUUCGAAGGUACGCUAGUUACGGUCGGACAUCGUGACGAUAGUGCAAUGGCAUAAGCGUGCUUAACUGCGAGACUGACAAGUCGAGCAGAUGCGAAAGCAGGACAUAGUGAUCCGGUGGUUCUGUAUGGAAGGGCCAUCGCUCAACGGAUAAAAGGUACUCUGGGGAUAACAGGCUGAUACCGCCCAAGAGUUCAUAUCGACGGCGGUGUUUGGCACCUCGAUGUCGGCUCAUCUCAUCCUGGGGCUGUAGCCGGUCCCAAGGGUAUGGCUGUUCGCCAUUUAAAGAGGUACGCGAGCUGGGUUUAAAACGUCGUGAGACAGUUUGGUCCCUAUCUUCCGUGGGCGCUGCAGAUUUGAGGAAGCCUGCUCCUAGUACGAGAGGACCGGAGUGGACACACCUCUGGUGUAUCGGUUGUCACGCCAGUGGCAUUGCCGAGUAGCUAAGUGUGGAAGAGAUAACCGCUGAAAGCAUCUAAGCGGGAAACUCGUUUCAAGAUGAGAUCUGCCGGGGCCUUGAGCCCCCUAAAGAGUCGUUCAAGACCAGGACGUUGAUAGGUCAGGUGUGGAAGC
rnacentral:rRNA from 1 species